rnacentral:rRNA from 1 species
UACGUAGGGUGCAAGCGUUGUCCGGAAUUAUUGGGCGUAAAGAGCUCGUAGGUGGCCUGUCGCGUCGGCUGUGAAAACUCGGGGCUCAACUCCGAGCUUGCAGUCGAUACGGGCAGGCUAGAGUUCGGCAGGGGAGACUGGAAUUCCUGGUGUAGCGGUGAAAUGCGCAGAUAUCAGGAGGAACACCGGUGGCGAAGGCGGGUCUCUGGGCCGAUACUGACACUGAGGAACGAAAGCUAGGGUAGCGAAUGGG